rnacentral:rRNA from 1 species
CAGGCUUAACACAUGCAAGUCGAGGGGCAUCAGGAAGAAAGCUUGCUUUCUUUGCUGGCGACCGGCGCACGGGUGAGUAACACGUAUCCAACCUGCCCUUUACUCGGGGAUAGCCUUUCGAAAGAAAGAUUAAUACCCGAUAGCAUAAUGAUUCCGCAUGGUUUCAUUAUUAAAGGAUUCCGGUAAAGGAUGGGGAUGCGUUCCAUUAGGUUGUUGGUGAGGUAACGGCCCACCAAGCCUUCGAUGGAUAGGGGUUCUGAGAGGAAGGUCCCCCACAUUGGAACUGAGACACGGUCCAAACUCCUACGGGAGGCAGCAGUGAGGAAUAUUGGUCAAUGGGCGCUAGCCUGAACCAGCCAAGUAGCGUGAAGGAUGAAGGCUCUAUGGGUCGUAAACUUCUUUUAUAUAAGAAUAAAGUGCAGUAUGUAUACUGUUUUGUAUGUAUUAUAUGAAUAAGGAUCGGCUAACUCCGUGCCAGCAGCCGCGGUAAUACGGAGGAUCCGAGCGUUAUCCGGAUUUAUUGGGUUUAAAGGGAGCGUAGGUGGACUGGUAAGUCAGUUGUGAAAGUUUGCGGCUCAACCGUAAAAUUGCAGUUGAUACUGUCAGUCUUGAGUACAGUAGAGGUGGGCGGAAUUCGUGGUGUAGCGGUGAAAUGCUUAGAUAUCACGAAGAACUCCGAUUGCGAAGGCAGCUCACUGGACUGCAACUGACACUGAUGCUCGAAAGUGUGGGUAUCAAACAGGAUUAGAUACCCUGGUAGUCCACACAGUAAACGAUGAAUACUCGCUGUUUGCGAUAUACAGUAAGCGGCCAAGCGAAAGCAUUAAGUAUUCCACCUGGGGAGUACGCCGGCAACGGUGAAACUCAAAGGAAUUGACGGGGGCCCGCACAAGCGGAGGAACAUGUGGUUUAAUUCGAUGAUACGCGAGGAACCUUACCCGGGCUUAAAUUGCAGUGGAAUGAUGUGGAGACAUGUCAGUGAGCAAUCACCGCUGUGAAGGUGCUGCAUGGUUGUCGUCAGCUCGUGCCGUGAGGUGUCGGCUUAAGUGCCAUAACGAGCGCAACCCUUAUCUUUAGUUACUAACAGGUUAUGCUGAGGACUCUAGAGAGACUGCCGUCGUAAGAUGUGAGGAAGGUGGGGAUGACGUCAAAUCAGCACGGCCCUUACGUCCGGGGCUACACACGUGUUACAAUGGGGGGUACAGAAGGCAGCUAGCGGGUGACCGUAUGCUAAUCCCAAAAUCCUCUCUCAGUUCGGAUCGAAGUCUGCAACCCGACUUCGUGAAGCUGGAUUCGCUAGUAAUCGCGCAUCAGCCACGGCGCGGUGAAUACGUUCCCGGGCCUUGUACACACCGCCCGUCAAGCCAUGGGAGCCGGGGGUACCUGAAGUACGUAACCGCAAGGAUCGUCCUAGGGUAAAACUGGUGACUGGGGCUAAGUCAUAACA